GACGAACGCUGGCGGCGUGCUUAACACAUGCAAGUCGAACGGAAAGGCCCUGCUUGCAGGGUACUCGAGUGGCGAACGGGUGAGUAACACGCGGGUGAACUGUCCUGUACACCGGGAUAAGCCUGGGGAACUGUGUCUAAUACCGGGUAUGAGCCAUCCUGAGUGAUGUGGGUGGAUAGUUUUUUUGGUGUAGGAUGAGCUGGCGGCCUACCUGUUUGUUGGUGGGGUAAUGGCCUACCAAGGCGGCGUCGGGUAGGCGGCCCGCGUGGGUGGACGGCCAAAAUGGGGAUGGGAUACGGCCCAGACCCCUACGGGGGGCAACAGUGGGGAAUAUUGCAAAAUGGGCGCGAGCCUGAUGCAGCGAAGCCGCGUGGGGGAUGAAGGCCUUCGGGUUGUAAAAUCCUUUCGCUAGGGACGAAGCUUUGUUGUGACGGUACCUAGAUAGGAAGCACCGGCUAACUACGU
rnacentral:rRNA from 1 species